rnacentral:lncRNA from 1 species
AGGCAAUGGGACAUGACCAUGUAAUGGGGGCAGAGUUGCCCUUUGGGGGAUGCUGAGACUCUCAGGGAACUAGACAGAGAUGAUAGCAGCUUGACUUUGUGGUUGCACUAACUGCCCUGGCACUGUGGGAUUCCUUUCAUCUCUAGUUACAGAUAAGAACUCUGAGGUUCUGAUGACAGGCAACUGGGGAAGCUGCAUGGCUAACCUCAUAAGCCCCACCAUUUGCCUGUGACUUUAUUUAACUUUUGUGGUAGCGGGGAUUGAACCUAGCACUUCUCUCAUGCUGGGAAAAUUCUAUACCCAGUCACUCUCUUCUUUUACUUUGUGUGUGUGUGUGUUUCUUUGAGACAGAGUCUCCUGUAGUCUAGGCUGACCUGGAAAUUAUAUUCAGGGCUGACCUUAAACUUCAACUCCUGAAAAAAAAUUAAGCCCUGAGCAUUUUAUCCUUGGCUAACCCUGCUAAUUCCUCCUGCCUGCCCCACUCCUCAGAGGGCAGCUACUUGGGGUUCCCUGUUGCUCCAUCUCUUCCAUUUCUUCAGAGAAACAGCUUGAGAGCUCCGUUUAAUCCAGUCACUGACUAUGCAUGACAUGGCUGGUCACCAGGCAGAGUGACAGACCCUGAAGCAAGCAGCUGCUCUCUGAAUGGAUUGGUGCAGAGCCUGCAGGGCUAGAUGGGCACAGCCUCCCCACCUCCACACCGACUUGCAUGCAAAGGAUCCAGAGAGAUGGUCUGUGAAGAACAUUUCUGUAAGGACACAUGCUGUCCAAGAUACCAGCAAAUCAGAGUGACUGGCAUUUUCGGCUGUAGCAAACGUGGCUCAGUGGUGAAGAACAUGGACUUUGAGGCCAGAGUCCUGAUGACAUUUACCUUGGUGGCUUGGCAGGUAAAGCAUGGGUCAGUUUCGCAUGUCAGCAUGUCCAGACAGUCCCCCAUGUGACUCAGAUGAAGAAGGCUCCUGGAGGUGAUGUCCGCAGUGAUCAUGAACAUCAAAGACCAUUAGGUUUUAUGAGCAAAUCUAAG